rnacentral:rRNA from 1 species
GCCAUGCUAGUUGUACGAGUUUGUACUCGUAGCAGAUAGCUCAGUAACACGUGGCCAAACUACCCUAUGGAUCCGGAUACCCUCGGGAAACUGAGACUAAUCCGGAAUACGAUUCCCACGCUGGAAGUGCGGGGAAUCAGAAACGCCCCGGCGCCAUAGGAUGUGGCUGCGGCCGAUUAGGUAGACGGUGGGGUAACGGCCCACCGUGCCAAUAAUCGGUACGGGUUGUGAGAGCAAGAGCCCGGAGACGGUAUCUGAGACAAGAUACCGGGCCCUACGGGGCGCAGCAGGCGCGAAACCUUUACACUGCAUGCCAGUGCGAUAAGGGGACUCCGAGUGCGAGGGCAUAUAGUCCUCGCUUUUUGUAACCGUAGGAAGGUUACAGAAUAAGUGCUGGGCAAGACCGGUGCCAGCCGCCGCGGUAAUACCGGCAGCACGAGUGAUGACCGCUAUUAUUGGGCCUAAAGCGUCCGUAGCUGGCCGCGCAAGUCUAUCGGGAAAUCCGCACGCCUAACGUGCGGGCGUCCGGUGGAAACUGCACGGCUUGGGACCGGAAGAUCCAGAGGGUACGUCUGGGGUAGGAGUGAAAUCCCGUAAUCCUGGACGGACCGCCGGUGGCGAAAGCGCUCUGGAAAGACGGAUCCGACGGUGAGGGACGAAAGCUCGGGUCACGAACCGGAUUAGAUACCCGGGUAGUCCGAGCUGUAAACGAUGUCUGCUAGGUGUGUCACAAACUACGAGUUUGUGAUGUGCCGUAGGGAAGCCGUGAAGCAGACCGCCUGGGAAGUACGUCCGCAAGGAUGAAACUUAA